GUAUCUUUAAAAGUUAGUCUAAAAAGGUUCAGCCUUUUAGAAAUGGGUACAACCUUCACUAGAGAGUAAGACUUUACAACACCAUAGUAGGCCUAAAAGCAGCCAUCAAUUAAGAAAGCGUUAAAGCUCAACAAUAAAAAUAAAAUUAAUCCCAACAAUAAUACAGCUAACUCCUAGACCUAAUACUGGACUAUUCUAUUAUUAAAUAGAAGCAAUAAUGUUAAUAUGAGUAACAAGAAAUAUUUUCUCCUUGCACAAGUUUAAGUCAGUAUCUGAUAAUAUUCUGACUGUUAACAGUAAAUAAAAACAACCCAACAAUAAAUAAUUUAUUAAUUGUACUGUUAACCCAACACAGGAGUGCACCCAGGAAAGAUUAAAAGAAGUAAAAGGAACUCGGCAAACACAAACCCCGCCUGUUUACCAAAAACAUCACCUCCAGCAUUUCCAGUAUUGGAGGCACUGCCUGCCCAGUGACUAAAC
rnacentral:rRNA from 1 species